rnacentral:rRNA from 1 species
AACGAACGCUGGCGGCGUGCCUAACACAUGCAAGUCGAGCGGGAAAGUCUCCUUCGGGAGGCGAGUAUAGCGGCGCACGGGUGAGUAACGCGUAGGUAACCUGCCCCUAAGUCUGGGAUAACUUGUCGAAAGACGAGCUAAUACCGGAUAAUUCCUCCCGACUAACGUCGGGGUGUAAAGAUGGCCUCUACUUGUAAGCUAUCGCUUAUUGAUGGGCCUGCGUGCCAUUAGCUAGNGGUGAGGUAAUGGCUCACCAAGGCGGAGAUGGCUAGCUGGUCUGAGAGGAUGAUCAGCCACACUGGGACUGAGACACGGCCCAGACUCCUACGGGAGGCAGCAGUGGGAAUAUUGCGCAAUGGGCGAAAGCCUGACGCAGCGACGCCGCGUGGGUGAUGAAGGCC